rfam:Schistosoma haematobium scaffold669_18, whole genome shotgun sequence.
GCACUGCUGAGGAGUCCCACAAUAGGCGAAACGGCCGUCCAGUGC